GCUCAGAAAACUAUGCACGGAGCCUAAAUAUAGUUUGCAUCAAACAUUACAGCAGUUACUACUGUGCACACAUUCAGAAAUAUAAUGUUUUUGUCAUUGAAUAUUAGCAUGUGCUCGCUGUCGUUUGCAUGCAUUUUGAUGGGAUGUACCAUUUAAGCCCACCUGUAAAAAAAAAAAAAGACUGAUAA